rnacentral:rRNA from 1 species
GCGUAAUAGCUCACUAGUCGAGUCGGCCUGCGCGGAAGAUGUAACGGGGCUAAGUUGUAAACCGAAGCUGCGGCAAUAUCUUUUAGAUAUUGGGUAGGGGAGCGUUCUGUAAGCCGUUGAAGGUGUGUUGUAAAGCAUGCUGGAGGUAUCAGAAGUGCGAAUGCUGACAUGAGUAACGACAAGGGGGGUGAAAAACCUCCCCGCCGGAAGACCAAGGGUUCCUGUCCAACGUUAAUCGGGGCAGGGUAAGUCGACCCCUAAGGCGAGGCCGAAAGGCGUAGUCGAUGGGAAACGGGUUAAUAUUCCCGUACUUCUUACAAUUGCGAUGGGGGGACGGAGAAGGCUAGGUGGGCCUGGCGACGGUUGUCCAGGUUCAAGUGCGUAGGCUGAGUGUUUAGGUAAAUCCGGAUACUCUUAAGGCUGAGACACGACGUCGAGCUACUACGGUAGUGAAGUCAUUGAUGCCAUGCUUCCAGGAAAAGCCUCUAAGCUUCAGAUUGUAAGGAAUCGUACCCCAAACCGACACAGGUGGUCGGGUAGAGAAUACCAAGGCGCUUGAGAGAACUCGGGUGAAGGAACUAGGCAAAAUGGUACCGUAACUUCGGGAGAAGGUACGCUCUUGAUGGUGAAGUCCCUUGCGGAUGGAGCUGACGAGAGUCGCAGAUACCAGGUGGCUGCAACUGUUUAUUAAAAACACAGCACUGUGCAAA